AAGUCAGCAGUACAGUUUGUAGAAAAAUCCACAAUAAUUCUAUACCUAUUACCUGAAGCAAUAUCAAUUGCUCACACGUGGAAAUAAAAGAGCCUCCAAGUGGUAAUACCUAAUCAAAUUGGGCCAAAAAUUAUGAGGCCUCACAAUACAAUUUGAAAUGUGUUUGGCUACAGUACAAUUUGCUCCUAGCACAACUCCCACUUCUAAAUAGUGGUACCAANNNN
rnacentral:lncRNA from 1 species